rnacentral:rRNA from 1 species
UACAGAGGUCUCAAGCGUUGUUCGGAUUCAUUGGGCGUAAAGGGUGCGUAGGCGGCGCGGUAAGUCGGGUGUGAAAUCUCGGAGCUUAACUCCGAAACUGCAUUCGAUACUGCCGUGCUUGAGGACUGGAGAGGAGACUGGAAUUUACGGUGUAGCGGUGAAAUGCGUAGAUAUCGUAAGGAAGACCAGUGGCGAAGGCGGGUCUCUGGACAGUGACUGACGCUGAGACGCGAAAGCGUGGGGAGCAAACAGG